AAUAUUGGACAAUGGGGGCAACCCUGAUCCAGCAAUGCCGCGUGUGUGAAGAAGGCCUGCGGGUUGUAAAGCACUUUCGGUGGGGAGGAAAAGCGUAGUGCUAAUACCACUAGGUCUUGACGGUACCCUCAAAGGAAGCACCGGCUAACUCCGUGCCAGCAGCCGCGGUAAUACGGAGGGUGCAAGCGUUGUUCGGAAUUAUUGGGCGUAAAGCGCGUGUAGGCGGUCUGUUAAGUCUGAUGUGAAAGCCCCGGGCUCAACCCGGGAAGUGCAUUGGAAACUGGCCGACUUGAGUACGGGAGAGGGUAGUGGAAUUCCGAGUGUAGGGGUGAAAUCCGUAGAUAUUCGGAGGAACACCGGUGGCGAAGGCGGCUACCUGGACCGAUACUGACGCUGAGACGCGAAAGCGUGGGGAGCAAAC
rnacentral:rRNA from 1 species